rnacentral:lncRNA from 1 species
AAAUUAAAAAAAAAAAUAAAACGAAAAAUAAAACGAAAAAAAUAAAAUAAUAAUAAUAAUAAUAAAUAAAUAAAUAAAAAUAAUAAUAAAAAAAUAAUAAAUAAAAUAUAAUAGAAAAAACUUGGACUUGGACCUCUCUCAUUUGAGCCCACAAAGCCAUGAAAAUCAGGUUAUAAAAGAUGAAGAUCAGACAGAAAAAGGAAGAGAAGCAAAAUACUUUGAGGUUUCCUUGAAACAAAACCCUGGACAAAACCUGGAGAGGAACCUGACAGAG